GACGAACGCUGGCGGCGUGCUUAACACAUGCAAGUCGAACGGAAAGGCCCCUUUGGGGGUCCUCGAGUGGCGAACGGGUGAGUAACACGUGAGUAACCUGCCCUUGACUUCGGGAUAACUUCAGGAAACUGGGGCUAAUACCGGAUAGGAAUCCUUGCUGCAUGGUGGGGGUUGGAAAGCUUCGGCGGUUUUGGAUGGACUCGCGGCUUAUCAGCUUGUUGGUGGGGUAGUGGCUUACCAAGGCUUUGACGGGUAGCCGGCCUGAGAGGGCGACCGGCCACAUUGGGACUGAGAUACGGCCCAGACUCCUACGGGAGGCAGCAGUGGGGAACAUUGCACAAUGGGCCGAAGCCUGAUGCCGCACCGCCGCGUGCGGGAUGACGGCCUUCGGGUUGUAAACCGCUUUCAGCAGGGGCGAAGCUUGUGGUGACGGUACCUGCAGAAGAAGCACCGGCUAACUACGUG
rnacentral:rRNA from 1 species